CUCCAGCCUUUCUCUGUGCGUUUCUCACGUGAGUUUGCAGAGCAUCUCCUCAGCCUUUCCUAAUUUUUCUCCUUUCUUUUCUUUCGGUAAUUUUCCACUCCUCUUCCUGGUGGACUCCUCUUCGCAUAUAAAUAGCCCAACCCACGGUAGACUCCUCUUCUCUGAGUUGAUGAGAAAUGCUUCAAGUAAAGGGGUGAUUGUGAACAAUCGAGGGAAGCUCCACAUUCGGUACCAAUUUCGCCGAUACUACCAAAGUAAGGCCAUUUCUCGCCUUCACCGGAGAGGAAACAGACGGGGAAUUUACAAAAGUCCUUCAUCUGUGUUUGGAGUUUUGCUGGCGGUGUCCUUCAACUCCUCGUCGGACUCGAACUCUGUAGUGAUGCCUAGGAAAAACCCAUAUGAGAGGCCGUUGUAUUGGAGCCCCGCUGCAGAGGCAUUUCUACUUGAGGAACUAUAUGAAUACAAUGACACAAACCACGGGAAGCUAUCAGAUUCUCGUGACUACAACCAAUAGACUGUUAAGAUGGCCACUUUUUUCGAUGGAUAUGUACCCGACGGUGAGCGACUGAGGGAGAAACACCGCCAACUUGGCAAUCUUUACACAACGUAUAAAAUGUUGCAAAACCAUACAGGAGUACCGUGAGAUCUUAUCAGUAAAACUUUCACAUGCUUAGAGGAACUGCGGACAGCUCUUUACAAGAGACAUCGUGAAGCGAAAACAUUGUUCACUCAUGCUUGGAAGCUAAAUGAGAUGUACUUGGCGGCCGUUUUCUCUUCAAGAGUUAUGGCUUCUGGUUCAGGUGCAUAUCACCAUGUCGCGCAAGUAGAGCCAAUGGACGAUGUUGUUGCUGGGGAUGAAUAACCACAACCCCACCAGAAUGCUCCUUACCAAAAUAGUGAUGAUGGGGAGAUUCGUAUUGAGCUUCGCAACUACGUGGAAAGUCUUGAAAGGUGAAAUGUGACCAAUGUCACCUCAUCUUCACAAGUGAUUAGAAAGAAACAAACAAGGGCACGUAAAUCCAAUGACAGUUCACGAGUGGAGUUGCUUGAAAUGGUUAGGGACAUGCGCGACGAUUUUCGAGAGGACAUUUGUUUAAGCAAAGAGGGCCUGUCGAGUAACAACACUAUCAAUGGACCAAGUGAAGCGGAUAUCAUCCUAGCGUCGCUCCCAAAAAUGAGAAUUGACCCGCAUAUGCAAGCCCAUGCCUUCAAAAAGAUAAUGGCAUCUGCCACGUAGCGGCUA